UUUUAUGGUGGCUGUGCGCAGGGCGCCUUCGGGUGCGCCGGGUUUUCCUGAUUAGCCGGUCGACUAACCUGCGUACAGCCACCACCCAC
rfam:Pseudomonas fluorescens ABAC62 scaffold1654_001, whole genome shotgun sequence.